rnacentral:rRNA from 1 species
AGAGUUUGAUCCUGGCUCAGGACGAACGCUGGCGGCGCGCCUAACACAUGCAAGUCGAACGAGCGAGAGAGAGCUUGCUUUCUCGAGCGAGUGGCGAACGGGUGAGUAACGCGUGAGGAACCUGCCUCAAAGAGGGGGACAACAGUUGGAAACGACUGCUAAUACCGCAUAAGCCCACAGCUCGGCAUCGAGCAGAGGGAAAAGGAGCAAUCCGCUUUGAGAUGGCCUCGCGUCCGAUUAGCUAGUUGGUGAGGUAACGGCCCACCAAGGCGACGAUCGGUAGCCGGACUGAGAGGUUGAACGGCCACAUUGGGACUGAGACACGGCCCAGACUCCUACGGGAGGCAGCAGUGGGGAAUAUUGCACAAUGGGGGAAACCCUGAUGCAGCGACGCCGCGUGGAGGAAGAAGGUCUUCGGAUUGUAAACUCCUGUUGUUGAGGAAGAUAAUGACGGUACUCAACAAGGAAGUGACGGCUAACUACGUGCCAGCAGCCGCGGUAAAACGUAGGUCACAAGCGUUGUCCGGAAUUACUGGGUGUAAAGGGAGCGCAGGCGGACCGGCAAGUUGGAAGUGAAAACUAUGGGCUCAACCCAUAAAUUGCUUUCAAAACUGCUGGCCUUGAGUAGUGCAGAGGUAGGUGGAAUUCCCGGUGUAGCGGUGGAAUGCGUAGAUAUCGGGAGGAACACCAGUGGCGAAGGCGACCUACUGGGCACCAACUGACGCUGAGGCUCGAAAGCAUGGGUAGCAAACCAGGAUUAGAUACCCUGGUAGUCCAUGCCGUAAACGAUGAUUACUAGGUGUUGGAGGAUUGACCCCUUCAGUGCCGCAGUUAACACAAUAAGUAAUCCACCUGGGGAGUACGACCGCAAGGUUGAAACUCAAAGGAAUUGACGGGGGCCCGCACAAGCAGUGGAGUAUGUGGUUUAAUUCGAAGCAACGCGAAGAACCUUACCAGGUCUUGACAUCCGAUGCAUAGCUUAGAGAUAAGUGAAGUCCUUCGGGACAUCGAGACAGGUGGUGCAUGGUUGUCGUCAGCUCGUGUCGUGAGAUGUUGGGUUAAGUCCCGCAACGAGCGCAACCCUUAUGGUCAGUUACUACGCAAGAGGACUCUGGCCAGACUGCCGUUGACAAAACGGAGGAAGGUGGGGAUGACGUCAAAUCAUCAUGCCCUUUAUGACUUGGGCUACACACGUACUACAAUGGCGUUAAACAAAGAGAAGCAAGACCGCGAGGUGGAGCAAAACUCAGAAACAACGUCCCAGUUCGGACUGCAGGCUGCGACUCGCCUGCACGAAGUCGGAAUUGCUAGUAAUCGUGGAUCAGCAUGCCACGGUGAAUACGUUCCCGGGCCUUGUACACACCGCCCGUCA